CCCAGGCUGCUCUGCUGAAGGCCGUGGUGGUGUGGGGAGCCCAUUUGUUCAGCCUGUGUCUCCCCAGGGAUCACCCCAACAUGUCCCCAGGAAAAACCAUGGACCUGGAGAACAUCGGAAGCAGCCCCUCUGGCCACCAUACCCGAGGAUACUCACACCCAGACGACAAGAACCUGAGUAGGGAAGGGGACCCGGCUGGGACUCAGGACCUGCAGUCCUGCCGCAUUCUCGUGUGGCUUCCCUGUCACUGACCCACUUCCCUUCUAAGAAGUGUUUGACCUUGGAGCUGACAAAGGACACCAUCUCCGGCCCUCCCUGACCCCUCCCCCACUGGGCGCACAAAGCCCCGCCUCCAGCUGUCUCAGUGGCUGGCACAACAAGCUUGUGACCCUUCAGGCCAGAGGUGUGGUCCCAUUUCACAGAUGGCAUAACCGAGACAGCAGAGCUGGAAAGAGAACAAGAUUGGCCAGUACCCAGGACCUCCUCACUCCUCCUCCCUGCCAGGCUGCCCGUCAUUAAGGAGGUGCCAGUCCGACGCUCAGGAUUCCCAGCCUGGUUUAUGGCCCGUGUGACUUUGGCAGGUUGCUUUCCCUCUGUGGGCCUUGGUGGCUCAGAGGAGGGAGUGAGGAUGGCUGAAACUGGAAAGCCUUGGCCCUGUCUUGCUAUCACUGCCCCAUGGCAGGACCCAGGCCCCGCUGCCCACGGCCUUGACACUGCUUUCCAAUGUUCCCACCCUCUGCCUCUCUGUGCUGGAGCAGGGCCACUUCAGCCAUGGGCGGGGGACAGGCCAUGUCAGCUACUGGGUUUGGGGGAAUCUGUCUUCCAAGGGAUGAAGACCUGGGAGGGGUCCCUGUGUCCCCCUCUCACUGCCUGGCCAAGGAGGACCCCACAGUAGGAAGGGAA
rnacentral:lncRNA from 1 species